GUUAGGAGGCAAUCAUAACACUGAAGUCGUCGACGUGUCACUCAGGGCUCCUGUCAUCCACAAAGUAAAUCACAGAGAAUUUAAAGGAACCUAUUCCAGCUCAAUUGGACUGGAGACAUGACCAAAGAGACUGAGACUCUGGGAGUGGUCUUUCAGAGCGAGAACUUCAACUAUAACCGUUACAACACAAACUACACCAUGGACCCCUGGUCGUACCUGGAUAGCCCCAUGCCCGAGGAGAACCUGGCCAAACCCAGACUCCACCCGGGGGACGACCUGGCAGCCAUAACCAUGCUUUAUGAACAGUGCAAGAGCCAGAAGGAGCAAAAGGUUGCCACCUGCGGCCGAAACAGUAGCUUCUGCAAACCAACAGAGAGGACUCCAAGCAAUGACCUCAUCUCAUUGGAGACAUCCGCAAACGUCAUUAAGAUCCUCUCUGAAAGCGUUCCCACCAGCUACUCCCUGGAGGUGUUAGGAUCCAAGCAGAACCCCUCGCUGCCCGUCUCCCUGCCCCCCAACGCUGACACCUACGCCACCCUGACCAGCGUGGCAGCGGACAGUGACAAGCAGGAGCUCAACAUCAUCUUCGACUCUCUGCUCCAAAAGUGGCCUGAGAGCAGCGCCUUCCCCGACCCCAGCGCAGAGACUCUUACCUACAACAACCCCUUCCCCGGAGACCACUCCAGUCCCGUCUACUCAGACUCCUACACUGGCUCCCCACCUGAGACUUAUAGGAGCGAGUUCCAAUUUUCCCUGGGCGCUCCCUCAGCUUCCCCUUAUAAAUCCAGCGAGUUACCCAUGGUCUACCUGAACAAGGGGCAGUUCUACCCCAUCACUUUGCAGGGAGUGGACAGCAGUGCCUGCAUGACUGCUACCAAAGUUAAGACCGUUGUGAUGGCCGUGUUCGAGAAUGACAAGACGCCUGAAAUGCAGCUCCGCUUUUGGAACCACUGGCAUGGGCGCCAGCCCACUGUCAAGCAGAGGGUCAUUGACAUCGCGGACUACAAAGAAGUGUUUACCGGCAUUAGCAACAUUGAAGAGGUCGCCUUCAAUGCGCUCUCCUUCAUUUGGAACCCCAACGAAGAAGCCAAGGUGUUUGUCGGCAUCAACUCGCUGAGCACCGACUUCUCGUCGCAAAAAGGCGUGAAGGGCCUGCCUCUCAACCUGCAGAUCGACACGUAUGACUUCAGCUCUGGGAACAAUCAGCUCAUACACAGAGCCGCCUGCCAAGUCAAGAUUUUCUGCGAUAAGGGGGCUGAGAGGAAGAUGCGCGAUGAAGAGAGGAAGAGGACCAAGAGGAGGGGCAAGACGGCCAAUGACGCCAAUGCCAAGUCUUUAGUGAGCAGCUCUAUGGGAAGCGACUGCACCUUCUUCCAGAUGGUGGAUGACCACAUAACCCAGCCGGUCCUCUUCAUCCCAGAGGCACAUCUGUCCAGUUUACAGCGCAUGGCCACGCCUAUAAUAGACGAGAACGAAAGAACUUCUCUGAAAAGGUUGUACUCAGACCGAGAGCAGAACUGCUCUCCACCCAGCAAACAAGUCCGCAGAGACGAUUCCCAGAGAGGUAAAACCACAAACUUUGUUGUUUGGGUGCUCAUCAAGCCAUCUGAGAGCCUCAACGCUUACAGUUUGUAUUUGUGUUUCCUUCCAAAAGUUCUGCUGUAUGUGAGGAGAGCUGCCGAAGAGGUUUUCGAUGCGCUCAUGCUCGACACGCCAACGGUGUCCGGCCUACGAGAAGCUAUUUCAGACAAGUAUGGCAUGCAUCCCAUUGGGAAAAUCUACAAGAAAUGCAAACGAGGGAUUUACGUCAACAUGGAUGACAUCAUCAUUGAACACUAUACCAACCAGUCAGCUUUCCUCAUCGAGAUGUCGGAGGCGGUCAGCGGUCAGUUCCAGGUCACUCUCAUCGAAGUAUGAUGACACCAUCACAGUUACGUCUCUAAAGCACUACGCCAUCAGUACAAGAAGAACAAAACAUGCCAACCAGCUGCGGACUGACCAAAACAACGAGACACCUGGGCUGACCUUUCAAUUUCAGACGUUUCCUUGCAGUUUUACAGCUAAUUGAUUCACAAACAUCUGGAUUUGGGAUUUUAAUUUCUGCAUCAACCGACCCGGACAGGUCCCGAGAAGAACCACUUCCCGGUGGUGUCUACAUGCAGCGCGUCAUUUCAUUCAAUAGACUCGCAUGCCGCUUUAACUAACAUUGUACAGCACCAUACAAUAUGAGAACUGUUGCCCACACUUGGCGUCCAUUGCAGCCUGAUUAUCCUGGAAGGAGGAUCCCUCCAUCUGUCGGCCCUUCUCAAGAUUAAUUUUUUCCUCAAAUGGGGUUUUGCGCUAUUCUUUUGCCCAUCUUUGUCAAUUUUGGGCGUGUGAAACCAUUUGAGACAUUUGUGAUUAAGGGCUUUACAAAUAAUGUUGGCUUGACCUUAUAAGACCCCAAGAUCGCAAUCAAUUAGUCAGUUAAGAUGGAUUUACCGUAACUUUGCGUGUAUAAUGCGCAUUAGAAAAAAAAUCGCAGAAGUCAAUAGUCAAUAGUGCGCAUUAUACAUAGGUACAGCAGAAAUGGAAAAAACUUUCAGAUUGUAUAAAUGUGUGACGCCAUCUAGUGGUUAUGAAAAAGCUGUACACUUUCAUUCCAAAAUGCCACCGCCACCUAGUGGUUAUAAUAAGGGUGUAGCCUACACUUUCAUUCCAAUAUGACAGUGGGUACGUGUGACUGCAUAUAUGUACAGGUAUGCUCAUAAGUUUACAUACCCUGACAGAAUUUGUGAAAUAUGGUUGUUGUUUUUUUAAUUUUUAAUGACUGAUGAAUGAACAACAACCAUCAUUCGUUUCUUUAUGGUUAUGUUUUGUUUAAUGAUAAUGCUUUUCUGAAAUGCUUGACCGUUUAAUUUGAAUCCCAUUAAAAUGAAAUUCAAUGUG